rnacentral:rRNA from 1 species
ACAGAGGCCUCGAGCGUUAAUCGGAGUCACUGGGCUUAAAGGGUGCGUAGGCGGCGCUGCAAGUGCCUUGUGAAAUCCCACGGCUCAACCGUGGAAUUGCUCGGCAGACUGCAGUGCUUGAGGUUGGUAGAGGUCGCUGGAACUCUAGGUGGAGCGGUGAAAUGCGUAGAUAUUGGGAGGAACACCAGUGGCGAAGGCGGCUCACUGGACUGGUACUGACGCUGAGGCGCGAAAGCGUGGGGAGCAAACGGGA